rnacentral:hammerhead_ribozyme from 1 species
AUCCAGCUGACGAGUCCCAAAUAAGACAAAGCGAAUAUCCUGGAU